GUAGGUGGCAAGCGUUGUCCGGAAUUAUUGGGCGUAAAGCGCGCGCAGGCGGUUCUUUAAGUCUGAUGUGAAAGCCCACGGCUCAACCGUGGAGGGUCAUUGGAAACUGGAGAACUUGAGUACAGAAGAGGAAAGCGGAAUUCCACGUGUAGCGGUGAAAUGCGUAGAGAUGUGGAGGAACACCAGUGGCGAAGGCGGCUUUUCUGGUCUGUAACUGACGCUGAGGCGCGAAAGCGUGGGGAGCAAACAGGGAUUAGAUACCCUGGUAGUCCACGCCGUAAACGAUGAGUGCUAAUGUUAGGGGGUUUCCGCCCCCUUAGUGCUGCAGCUAACGCAUUAAGCACUCCGCCUGGGGAGUACGGCCGCAAGGCUG
rnacentral:rRNA from 1 species